rnacentral:rRNA from 1 species
UACGAAGGGGGCUAGCGUUGCUCGGAAUCACUGGGCGUAAAGGGCUCGUAGGCGGCCAACUCAGUCGGACGUGAAAUCCCUCGGCUUAACCGGGGAACUGCGUCCGAUACUGGAUGGCUCGAGUGUGGGAGAGGGAUGCGGAAUUCCAGGUGUAGCGGUGAAAUGCGUAGAUAUCUGGAGGAACACCGGUGGCGAAGGCGGCAUCCUGGACUACUACUGACGCUGAGGAGCGAAAGCCAGGGGAGCAAACGGG